UUGACUGGAAAAAUGUGGUGUUUUGGUGGCUAUCGAUGACUUAGCCAAGCACGCCCACCCAACCAAGGCUGCCCCGGAGGAUUCUGCGGAGGCAUCACCCAUAAUCUGCUGGUCGAAGUCACUCCUCGCGACUAGGACAGCUCCAUCUUCCCCAUAGCGACAACUCACUCGCGCAUUUCAGUCUUCAUGUACAUUUUAAUUAUCACCCCUUUACGACCAAACUUGGCCACCGUCUACAAAUUUACGCGGUCAAAGCGGAAGAUUACCUUCCUUUGGCAAAGGCUACAGGCGCUGCGGAAAUAAUGUUCCACCAGACAUGUAUUGGUGGGCACACACUAGGUAUGUGUCAGGUCACCUAAUCCUGAGGAGCUCCUAGGGAAAAGAAGGGACAGGCCAAACGGUAACAAUGAGGACAAGAAUUGAGGUUGUCGGGUUUAAGUCCGGAUAAAUUUACAGGUCAACAGCCACUUCUGGGCUAGGCGCCGGCCUAAAUAUGCCCCGACUGCAGCGUACUCUGCCGGAGGCCAGCAGCAAUAAGGGCCUGGAACACCCCGAGAAACGGUGGCGAAGGCGAGCCUGAUGGCGGUGCCUCUCAACGCCGCGCGAAAUGGGCAGCCAGUUACUCCAAGGCGACUUAACAGCCAGGAACGGACUCACCGGCGUAUUUUAGACAGCGUUGGCGGCGUCCGAGGAUGGCGAGUUAUUGUGGUCCAAAAUGUAUCGCUUGGUUGAACGAAGGUGCGUAUGGAUAUGGAUGCCAAUCUCCGAAUUAAAUAUUCCAAUUUAAUUAGUCCAAUUUAAUCUUCCAAUUUAAACUUCCAAUUUAAAUUUUCAGAUCUAAUUAGUCCAAUUAAGUCUUCCAAUUUAAUCUCCCGGGGCCCUUUGUAUUGGGACCCCGGUUGCCCUACGAAUAAUUAUUUAUAAAUAAAAUAAACUAUUAAACCUAACACAAAUUUUUCUAACACUCACUUUUUUUUUAUAUUUCGGCACAAACACUACUUCGACAUUUUUAUGUUCUGUCUGCUGGGACAAUAUGGCUGCGACUAUAUAAAAAUUUGCCUAUCAUGCCUAUAUCUCGUCAUAUUCCCUUCGCCUCUCUCGAAAUUGGGUCAUUGGACAUAUCAAGGCCAUCCUAGCCAUACCCAGAGCGAACCGGGCUAGUUUAAAUAGCUAGAUAGCCAAGACAUCAGCAGAAGGGGGCGCCACUCCAGUAGGAGUUGCCACCCUCCUACUUUAUCAAUAGCCCUACCAAAAACGAAUACAUCCUUCUUAAUUCCUCCAGCCGAUUCCAACUUGAAAUGCAACAUUUU